AUUCCAAAGUAGUUAACUAAUGUCAAUUUUUGCCUCAAUUUGGUAGGUGGCAUGAUUUUUAUUUUUUAUCAUGCAAUUUUUUUUUUCCAGAAAAGUCCUCCCGUCCCAACGAUGCUCACCCAGACCAUGGCACCUAGCACAGGGCCCCGCACGUAGUACACACGCGGUACUUGUGGAACUGGGUUGAACCGGGAAUAAAACGAGUAGCAGAGGUUGGUUCCCACAAAGGUCAGCAAGUAGGAGAGAGCGAAAGGCUACAGCUCAGCGGCAAACGUUCUGCAUUUACUUGAUAAACCAUUUGCAACUAGUUCCCCAAAAACUGUUGGUUUAAAGCAGUGUUUUCAGCCUUGGCCACACGCUGUAAUCCCCCGGAGGAGCUGUAAAAAGUCCUGAUGCCCAGGUCCCACUCCAGGGACUGAGAUUUCAUGGGUGUGUUGCAACUUGGGUUUCGGGAAUUUUAAAAGCCCCCCAGGUGAUUCUAAUAUGCAGCCGGGGGCGAGAACCACUGAUUCAGGGCUGGGGAUGCAUUCGCUAAUACUCAAAACUACAAAUGUGGCUCACAUCCUGUUUCUACUGGACAUCGCUGCCUUGGAGGACUGCCUCCCUUUUCAAAGCUCAGGCUGCCUCUUCAAGAGACCAGGGUCCAGGAAGGUUAUAAAACCUGAAAUUUUAAAAGAAUUUGCUUUUGUUUUGUUUUUUUGAGGAAGAUUAGCUCUGAGCUAACAUCUGCCACCAGUCCUCCUCGUUUUGUUGAGGAAGACUGGCCCUGAGCUAACAUCCGUGCCCAUCUUCCUCUACUUUAUAUGUGGGACGCCUGCCACAGCAUGGCUUGACAAGUGGUGCGUAGGUCUGCACCCAGGAUCCGAACUGGUGAACCCCAGGCCGCCAAAGCAGAAUGUGCGAACUUAACUGGUCUGCCACCGUCUGGCCCCAGAAUUUGUUAUUUUAUUGUUUCGAUUUGUGAAUAAAGGAUUUAAUAAAGAUGUUCACCCCAAUAUAAUCUUACAUUUAAAGUUUAAUAUUAAAAUAAUU
rnacentral:lncRNA from 1 species